rnacentral:tRNA from 1 species
GCUCUGGUGGUGGAAUUGGUAGACACGCUAUCUUGAGGGGGUAGUGGCCGCAGGCCGUGCGAGUUCACGUGCGAGUUCAAGUCUCGCUCAGAGCACCA